AUUGAACGCUGGCGGCAUGCCUAACACAUGCAAGUCGAACGGCAGCACGGUGACUUCUUGCUGUUGCCGAGUGGCGAACGGGUGAGUAAUACAUCGGAAUCUGUCCCUUAGUGUGGGAAAGGCCGGAGGAAGCCGGAUUUAUACCACAAACGAAUCCCGGCUAAGAGGGGGGGCACUGGAACUCUCGCGCUUUCGGGAUGGCAGGUGGCGAUGUCGGAUUAGCUAGUUGGUGGGGUAAAGGCCUACCAAGGCGACGAUCGGUAGCUGGUCUGAGAGGAUGAUCAGCCACACUGGAACUGAGACACGGUCCAGACUCCUACGGGAGGCAGCAGUGGGGAAUAUUGGACAAUGGGCGAAAGCCUGAUCCAGCAAUGCCGCGUGUGUGAAGAAGGCCUUCGGGUUGUAAAGCACUUUUGUUGGGAAAGAAAUGCUGGAGGCUAAUACCGUGCGGUGAUGACGGUACCGGAAGAAUAAGCACCGGCUAACUACGUG
rnacentral:rRNA from 1 species